rnacentral:rRNA from 1 species
UGGUAUAGGAUUGGCUCGCGUGACAUUAGCCAGAUGGUGAGGUAACGGCUCACCAUAGCAAUGAUGUCUAGGGGUUUUGAGAGGAAGGUCCCCCACACUGGGACUGAGACACGGCCCAGACCCCUACGGGAGGCAGCAGUGAGGAAUAUUGGACAAUGGAUGGAAAUCUGAUCCAGCCAUGCCGCGUGCAGGAAGACGGCCUUAUGGGUUGUAAACUGCUUUUAUACGGGAGCAAUAAGGGUUACGAGUAAUCCGAUGAGAGUACUGUAUGAAUAAGGAUCGGCUAACUCCGUGCCAGCAGCCGCGGUAAUACGGAGGAUCCGAGCGUUAUCCGGAAUUAUUGGGUUUAAAGGGUGCGUAGGCGGCCAUUUAAGUCAGCGGUGAAAUUUUGCAGCUUAACUGUAACAGUGCCGUUGAUACUGUUUGGCUAGGAUUUGGUUGUAGUGUGCGGAAUGUGUGGUGUAGCGGUGAAAUGCUUAGAUAUCACACAGAACACCGAUUGCGAAGGCAGCACACUAAGUCAUUAUUGACGCUGAGGCACGAAAGUGUGGGGAUCAAACAGGAUUAGAUACCCUGGUAGUCCACACUGUAAACGAUGAUAACUCGCUGUCGGCGAUACACAGUCGGUGGCCAAGCGAAAGCAUUAAGUUAUCCACCUGGGGAGUACGACCGCAAGGUUGAAACUCAAAGGAAUUGACGGGGGCCCGCACAAGCGGAGGAACAUGUGGUUUAAUUCGAUGAUACGCGAGGAACCUUACCCGGGCUCGAACGGUGCAUGAAUAUACGAGAGAUUGUAUAGUCCUUCGGGACAUGUAUCGAGGUGCUGCAUGGUUGUCGUCAGCUCGUGCCGUGAGGUGUCGGCUUAAGUGCCAUAACGAGCGCAACCCUUGUCAUUAGUUGCCAUCAGGUCAAGCUGGGGACUUUAAUGAGACUGCCACCGUAAGGUGUGAGGAAGGGGGGGAUGACGUCAAAUCAGCACGGCCCUUAUGUCCGGGGCGACACACGUGUUACAAUGGGAGGUACAGAGGGCAGCUAUCCGGUGACGGAAUGCUAAUCUCCAAAACCUUUCUCAGUUCGGAUUGGAGUCUGCAACUCGACUCCAUGAAGGUGGAUUCGCUAGUAAUCGCGAAUCAGAAUGUCGCGGUGAAUACGUUCUCGGGCCUUGCACACACCGCCCGUCAAG